UAGUGGCGAACGGGUGAGUAACACGUGGGCAAUCUGCCCUUCACUCUGGGACAAGCCCUGGAAACGGGGUCUAAUACCGGAUAACACUGCGGAUCGCAUGGUCUGNGGUUAAAAGCUCCGGCGGUGAAGGAUGAGCCCGCGGCCUAUCAGCUUGUUGGUGAGGUAGUGGCUCACCAAGGCGACGACGGGUAGCCGGCCUGAGAGGGCGACCGGCCACACUGGGACUGAGACACGGCCCAGACUCCUACGGGAGGCAGCAGUGGGGAAUAUUGCACAAUGGGCGAAAGCCUGAUGCAGCGACGCCGCGUGAGGGAUGACGGCCUUCGGGUUGUAAACCUCUUUCAGCAGGGAAGAAGCGAAAGUGACGGUACCUGCAGAAGAAGCGCCGGCUAACUACGUGCCAGCAGCCGCGGUAAUACGUAGGGCGCAAGCGUUGUCCGGAAUUAUUGGGCGUAAAGAGCUCGUAGGCGGCUUGUCACGUCGAUUGUGAAAGCCCGAGGCUUAACCUCGGGUCUGCAGUCGAUACGGGCUAGCUAGAGUGUGGUAG
rnacentral:rRNA from 1 species